UACGUAGGGUGCAAGCGUUAUCCGGAAUUAUUGGGCGUAAAGAGCUCGUAGGCGGUUUGUCGCGUCUGCUGUGAAAGCCCGAGGCUCAACCUCGGGCGUGCAGUGGGUACGGGCAGACUAGAGUGCGGUAGGGGAGAUUGGAAUUCCUGGUGUAGCGGUGGAAUGCGCAGAUAUCAGGAGGAACACCGAUGGCGAAGGCAGAUCUCUGGGCCGUAACUGACGCUGAGGAGCGAAAGCGUGGGGAGCGAACAGG
rnacentral:rRNA from 1 species